rnacentral:rRNA from 1 species
UACGAAGGGGGCUAGCGUUGUUCGGAUUUACUGGGCGUAAAGCGCGCGUAGGCGGAUUCUUAAGUCAGGGGUGAAAUCCCGAGGCUCAACCUCGGAACUGCCUUUGAUACUGGGGAUCUCGAGUUCGGGAGAGGUGAGUGGAACUGCGAGUGUAGAGGUGAAAUUCGUAGAUAUUCGCAAGAACACCAGUGGCGAAGGCGGCUCACUGGCCCGAUACUGACGCUGAGGCACGAAAGCGUGGGGAGCAAACAGG